GGCCUACCAUGGUGGUAACGGGUAACGGGGUGUUAGGGCACGACACCGGAGAGGGAGCCUGAGAAACGGCUACCACAUCCAAGGAUGGCAGCAGGCGCGCAAAUUACCCAAUCCCGACACGGGGAGGUAGUGACAAUAAAUAACAAUACGGGGUUCUUUCGGAUCUCGUAAUUGGAAUGAGUACAAUUUAAAUCUCUUAACGAGGAACAAUUGGAGGGCAAGUCUGGUGCCAGCAGCCGCGGUAAUUCCAGCUCCAAUAGCGUAUAUUAAAGUUGUUGCAGUUAAAAAGCUCGUAGUUGAAUUUCGGGGUUAGUAGGUUGGUCAUGCCUCUGGUAUGUACUGAUCUCACUGAUUCCUCCUUCCUUAUGAACCGUAAUGCCAUUAAUUUGGUGUUGCGGGGAAUUUGGACUGUUACUUUGAAAAAAUUAGAGUGUUUAAAGCAGGCUAACGCUUGAAUACAUUAGCAUGGAAUAAUGAAAUAGGACGUUCGAUCUUACUUUGUUGGUUUCUAGGAUUGACGUAAUGAUUAAUAGGGAUAGUUGGGGGCAUUAGUAUUCAAUUGUCAGAGGUGAAAUUCUUGGAUUUAUUGAAGACUAACUACUGCGAAAGCAUUUGCCAAGGAUGUUUUCAUUAAUCAAGAACGAAAGUUAGGGGAUCGAAGACGAUCAGAUACCGUCGUAGUCUUAACCAUAAACUAUGCCGACUAGGGAUCGGAUGAUGUUAAUUUUUUAAUGACUCAUUCGGCGCCUUACG
rnacentral:rRNA from 1 species